AAAAAUAUUACUUUUAUUACUUUCACAUUCACCACAACCAUUUUUCUUUUACAUACCAAGCCAGAGAAAUUCAACAAGCUAAAAUACCAUGUUUAAACUGUUGAGUGCAAGGCUUUGAAGGCUUUGUUAUAGGCUCAGUUCUUGUUCAGUUCGAUUUGAGAAUAAAAAAUAAAAAUGGAGUAAUAUCUGUGGAGCUGAUAAUCAUUUAUUAGGAACCAAAAGCACUUUAUAACCAGAAACUGUAAUAGAUAUUCAGAAGAUAGGAGGUGAAAACGUAAUUUAGGGUGUGCAGGAAAAAAAAAAGAAGAUAUGGAGCCUCAUUUCCUCUGUUAGAUAAGGUCAUUCAUCCAUGAGACAAGUUUGGCAUCUUCAAUUUUAUAGAUUCAAUAAACUCCAAGCUUCAAGUUCUCCUUUAACUGUAAAUAACAGCGAGAUUAAAACUUUUAAAGGACACCUGCUGUAAAAUUUGAGGUUUCUAUUAUAAAAAGUUAACAUGGAUAUACAGAUUCUGAAGAAAAAGAAGAAACAAACCCUGUAUUAACAAAGAUGUACCUUUGCAUAUUCAGAGUAUGAGCACUUUCUGUGUCAUGCAUCAAUAUUUCAUAUCAGCAAAGUCCAACACAAAUCAACAACAAUUUAUUUUCUUUCUCACAAGAAUAACAGCAAAAUGUGCAAAUAAACAUUGUUUUUAACUAAUGACUGUGUUUUACUUGUAUCAAGAGUCAAAAAUGAUCUCCAAUAUAGAAACUAGUGAAAAGUUUACAUAAUCUCAUGGGGGCAAUACAUUUCAUUAUCUGGAGUUUGAACAGACAUAGAUGUAUGUCUUCAUAUUUUUUUUUUACUAAACCUAGUAAUGUUCUAACUGUCAAGAAUGGUGACGACAACAUCAUGCUGUGGGCCUGGUUCACAGAUUUUAAAACUGGUGCAUAGCACAAACUGGCUGGAAAAUACAAGACGGAGAAAUGUUUUCAAAUUCUCCAGUAAACAUAAAUACGGAGACAAUAUAAAACAAAUCAGAAUUACAAGCAAAAUUGGUUAUGAACUGUAUAAGCAGAAAACUUGAAACCCCAAUAAAAAGUGAAGACCAUUCCAGGAUUUAAACCAUGGAAUGGUCUAAAUCCAGGAUUUACAAAGCUUAUGUGGUCAAGUAUAAGAUGGGAGUUUAGGUAUAUUGCGUCAUGAGAAAAUAGUUAUUAAAAUAAAUGAUUAAAAGCCUAAAAUUACCAUGACAACCAUGCACAUGAGUUAGUGUAAACUUCUGACAAAAAGUAAAUAUAGAUGUCUGAGUUGAAAAGAACAAACAGUUUAGAAAAGAAAUGAAGCUGCAAAAUGUAACCAGUAAUUAAAACAACAGGAAGGAUCACUUAUGCUCCAGUGAGGCAGAAAGUUUUUUUUACAGGAUCAGACCUCUGAACAACUGAGAUAUUUAAUUUUUUUUCUUUAAAUAUGAGCUUAAACUGGACACCUUUUCAAUAUCCAACCAAAAUUUGGGAUUAUUGUACCACUGGAACACUGAACUGUCUUUUAGUCUCCAGCUAAUAAAAAUAUAUUUCUAGAACAACCCAAUAACCAAAACACCAGUCUCACUGUCAACAAUAAAACCGGUUUUACAUCACCUGACCAAAGAAAUAAAAGCUUCUACUUCAAAAUUAGCACCUUCAGACUGGUCUGAAAUUUACAACGCAAAAACAAGGAGGUGGAAGCAUCAGGCUGUGGGAUUUUUUCACUGUCUAUGCUAUUGGUGCAUUUCACAGAGAGGAGGAAAAAAAUAAAGAUCUACCUCAGUUACUUCAACUUUGUUCUUUUGCAAUUAUUUGUUCCAACAAGGGAAAAAAAGCAUUACAUCAAGAAAAGCCAGUAAUACCUUGAUUAUUUCAGUAACUAAAACAUUAUUUAUGCAAGUUAGAAACCUUUAUGAUGUCUUCCUGCAAUCUGUUUUUGCUGUAAAAGUUCUGACUUGUAAAUAUAUAAAAGUGCCCCUUCGCAGCAGUCUCUGAGCUCCAAACUUCGGUUGUCUUUGAUCAAAUAAAACCACCGUGGGCCUCAACAAAACAUCAAAUCACUUACGGGGAGAUGGCAAAAACAAAGUAAGGGUAAGAGGAGCUUGGACAGUCUUUAGAUGACCAUUGAACAAUGUUUAAUGAUGCUGGCUUAAAGCCUCCAGGCUAAAAUUCUGAGAAGAAUUAUCACAUGGAUCUGAAGAGGGAUUAAAACUCCCUCUAGACCCAUUUUUCUCCUCUCUUCAAUUAGUAAAGCGAGGAAUAAAAAAAGAGGCCUUUUUUCAUUCAGGCAGAGAUGGGGAUGGCUCUUUGCCACUUUUGGUUGUACAGGAGCCCGAGGACCUGUUAGAGUGCUCACACUGAUAAUAUUUCUUCAGGGAAAAAAAAAAAGAAGAAAAGAGAUGAAAAAAAUAUGGAUGCCUUGGAGGAUAAAAA